rnacentral:misc_RNA from 1 species
GAUAACUCCACCUUCCCCACAGGGUCAAGAUAAUUAACAAUUUCACCCUUAGAGGUAAUACCCAUCCAUAAAAAUGGCAACUUUAUCACUUCAUAAGUACCAUUUCUCGAGGGUUUCACCCUCGAACCAGCUAUAUGAAACGGACCCCACUCAAAAAAGAUCAACGGUGAAUCAGAUUCAGCACCACUCCGGCGCCAGAACCCAAUGAGAUUCUCAUACUCCAAAAGGGUAUUGUAAAGAAGCUUAUACGAGAUCUUACCGUUACCCCAUUUGUUAAUCUGGGUUUUGGAUCCCCAUUUGCGGUUACACAUGGAAAAC